GAAUUCGAUUGAGGCCUGACACAUGCAAGUCGAGGGGUAGAACACUUCGGUGUUUGAGACCGGCGCACGGGUGCGUAACGCGUAUGCAAUCUACCUUGUACAGGGGAAUAGCCCAGAGAAAUUUGGAUUAAUGCCCCAUAGUAUAUAACCUUCGCAUGUUGGUUAUAUUAAAGUUCCAACGGUACAAGAUGAGCAUGCGUCCCAUUAGUUAGUUGGUAAGGUAACGGCUUACCAAGACGAUGAUGGGUAGGGGUCCUGAGAGGGAGAUCCCCCACACUGGUACUGAGACACGGACCAGACUCCUACGGGAGGCAGCAGUGAGGAAUAUUGGUCAAUGGUCGCAAGACUGAAACAGCCAUGCCGCGUGCAGGAAGACGGUCCUAUGGAUUGUAAAGGUGCUUUUAUACAGGAAGAAACCCUCCCACGUGUGGGAGCUUGAC
rnacentral:rRNA from 1 species